UGGGAAUUUUGGACAAUGGGCGCAAGCCUGAUCCAGCAAUGCCGCGUGCAGGAUGAAGGCCUUCGGGUUGUAAACUGCUUUUGUACGGAACGAAAAGCCUCUCUCUAAUACAGGGGGUGAUGACGGUACCGUAAGAAUAAGCACCGGCUAACUACGUGCCAGCAGCCGCGGUAAUACGUAGGGCGCAAGCGUUAAUCGGAAUUACUGGGCGUAAAGCGUGCGCAGGCGGUUUUGUAAGACAGUGGUGAAAUCCCCGGGCUCAACCUGGGAACUGCCAUUGUGACUGCAAGGCUGGAGUGCGGCAGAGGGGGAUGGAAUUCCGCGUGUAGCAGUGAAAUGCGUAGAUAUGCGGAGGAACACCGAUGGCGAAGGCAAUCCCCUGGGCCUGCACUGACGCUCAUGCACGAAAGCGUGGGGAGCAAACAGGAUUAGAUACCCUGGUAGUCCACGCCCUAAACGAUGUCAACUGGUUGUUGGGGAUUUAUCUCUUCAGUAACGAAGCUAACGCGUGAAGUUGACCGCCUGGGGAGUACGGCCGCAAGGUU
rnacentral:rRNA from 1 species